CACGUAGUUAGCCGGUGCUUUUUCUGCAGGUACCGUCACUUUCGCUUCUUCCCUACUAAAAGAGGUUUACAACCCGAAGGCCGUCAUCCCUCACGCGGCGUUGCUGCAUCAGGCUUUCGCCCAUUGUGCAAUAUUCCCCACUGCUGCCCCCCGUAGGAGUCUGGGCCGUGUCUCAGUCCCAGUGUGGCCGGUCACCCUCUCAGGCCGGCUACCCGUCGUAGGCUUGGUGAGCCAUUACCUCACCAACAACCUGAUAGGCCGCGAGUCCAUCCCCAACCGAAAUUCUUUCCACGACCAGACCAUGCGGCCAGUCGUCAUAUCCGGUAUUAGCUACCAUUUCUAGCAGUUAUCCCAGAGUCGGGGGCAGGUUACUCACGUGUUACUCACCCGUUCGCCACUGAUCCGCCAGAGCAAGCUCUGACAUCACCGUUCGACUUGCAUGUGUUAAGCACGCCGCCAGCGUCGUCCUGCGCAGAUCAAACUCU
rnacentral:rRNA from 1 species